CGGCCUGCAUUAGGCACGUGGAUCUGCAGCAUGGCGAUCAGUCUGCGAUUGUAUUUUUUUUGCACAAUACUCAUAGUUUUUGUGAAAGCAGAUGAUCUACCACGACCGGAACAAGAGGUCUUACAACCUGAAGAAUCAAACGGCAUCUUCGGAGUAUCCAGUGUCGCCGGCAUUGCAUCCAGGAACGGUCGCGUCUCAUCCCUCGGCGGAAUCCAGAUCUACCCCGGCCUGGACCAACAAAUAACUUACAGUAGCAAUGACGGAGCAGGAUACUACUAUCCUUUAACAGUCACGAAAGAAGGAGACGGAAAAUACGCGUCGGGGUCCAUACAGUUAUACCCGGGAUCAGUAGUCGUUUCUUCAACAGCUAGAUCAGGAUAUCCAUCUGAUAUAAAACCUCUACCUCUAAGCAUAAACCGACCAUUCAAGGAGUUUAUAUUCCAGCCAGUGCCCGAUUUCUUCGAAAAGCAAAGGAAUAUAGACCCUAUUGAGCCCUGGUUUAUGAAGAACAUGUUCCCCUUUAGUCCGCCAAGACCUGAUGCCGCGGAGAAUCCCUGGCUCUAUCCAACUUUCAAUCCGUUUUUGAACUUCUGGCGUUGAAUAAAUGUGAUUUUUUACUUU